UUUUUCCCAGUUCAUGCUCAAAACAAUAAAAGGACAAGAUGACUGAAUCUAGUCAAGAUUGUGAGAUUAAUGUUUCUACAAAUUAAAUAAAAAUAGGCUAUUCCUUGAGAGAAAUGGGGUAUAUCUGAAUCACAAAGUAUUUUGCAAGUGAUGGGUUUACCCACAAAAUGAACUUUCAGAGAAUUGUAACUGGGCAUCGCAUCUUUUUAUCUUUUUUCUUUAUUUUGAAUUGUGGACAAAAACGAGAAAAUGUUUUAAAUCAAGGACUAUAGGAGGACUUGCUGCCUUUCUAAAAACAAUUUACUGGAACUCAUUGUGAGUUUUGUUUACAUUGCUGCUUUGUUCAAGCAGUGGGACAAGAUGUUUGACACAUUGGAGUUACCUGUUGAUUGGGGUUUAAAUUCAGACAAUUGUGUGGAUCAGGAGUCAUCAGCAUGAAAACAACUCUCUGACUGGCUCCUCAGCAGGUGGACAGCUUGUGUGUGAACAACAGGCAAAAAUUUUCAGAUGCACAGACACAAAGCCAGGCAGUUUGCAUUGGUUGCCAGCAGGGAUCAAUCUAUCAAUGGAGUGCACAUGUUGCAGUAUGACCAUUCUAUAUCAACGUCGCAUCCAACAAGAAUUAUCAGAGGUCUGAAACAAAAACAGAAAU